rnacentral:tRNA from 1 species
GGACUGUAGCUCAGUGGCAGAGCGCUUGCCUAGAAUGUUUGUGGCACUGGGUUUGAUCCUCAGCACCA